rnacentral:snRNA from 1 species
GCACCCACUUCAGCAUGCUUGAACUAAAAUUGGCACCACCCAAAGAAGAUUAGCGCACAGCCUACGUAAGGAUGACACAUACUUUUCAUUUUCAUUUUUUU